rnacentral:rRNA from 1 species
AGUGAACGCUUGCGGUAUACUUAACACAUGCGAGUUGAAUGUAAUUUAAAAAUACAUGGCGAACGGGUGAGUAUAACAAAAGAAUCUACCUUUGAGUUUGAGAUAGUAGUAUUUCGUAAAGAAAGAAUAUUUUUUAGCUAUAAUCUCAUUGCUGCGGAACCAAUGCAAGCAAAGUAAACAACUGCUUUAAGAUGGGCUUUUGCAGGAUUAGGUAGUUGGUGAGACAAAAGCUUACCAAGCCGAUGAUCCUUAGCUGGUCUGAGAGGACGGUCAGCCACACUGGGACUGAGACAAGGCCCAGGCUUCAAGCCAGCAGCGGGGAAUCUUGGACAAUGAGCGGAAGCUUGAUCCAGUAAUAUCGCGUGAAUGAGGAAAGCAAAAAAGAUUUGUCUGUGUAAAAACUUAUGAAUCGGUUGUAAAGUUCUAUCACUGAUGAAGAUUAUGACAUUAAUCAGAGAAGAAGCCCCGGCUAACUUCGUGCCAGCAGCCGCGGUAAUACGAAGGGGGCGAGCGUUAUUCGGAAUGAUUGGGCGUAAAGAGUUCGUAGGCUGUCAUUUUGGUUAUUCGUAAAACACUGAAUUUAUUCUUUAGAAAUACGUUUAAAACUUUAUUACUUGAGUACGACAGAGGAUAACAGAAUUUCAGUGAGGUAGGGUUAAAAUCCAUUAACUUGUGAAGGAAUGUCAGCGGCGAAAGCGGUUAUCUGGGUCUUUUACUGACGCUGAGGGACGAAAGCGUAGGGAGCAAACAGGAUUAGAUACCCUGGUAGUCUACGCCGUCAAAUAUGAGUGCUACUGUUGGGAAAUAUUCUGGCAUACAGCUAACGCGUUAAGCACUCCGCCUGGGAAGUACGGUCGCAAGACUGGAACUCAAAGGAAUUGACGGGGGUCUACACAAGUGGUGGAGCAUGUGGUUUAAUGCGAUACUACACGCAAAACCUUACCAGUUCUUGAAUACUAUACUGCAAUUGAGUUGUUUCGAUUGCGUUUUGAAGAUAAUUUGUUAAUUAUUUCAUUUUUGAUUUGUACAGGUGUUGCAUGGCUGUCGUCAGUUCGUGCCGUGAGGUGUUUGGUUUAUUCCUUUAACGAGCGCAACUCUUGUCUUAUGUUGGUAACUUUAUUGAGUAAUCUUUAAAAACAACUUUUAAGAAACAGCUGGUGAUGAAUCAGAGGAAGGUGAGAAUGACGUCAAGCCCUUAUGGCCCUUAUGAACUGGGCUACACACGUGCUACAAUGGUGAAAACAAAAAGUUAUACGAUAGAGCAAUUUGAAGUAAAUCUUUAAAAAUCGCCGUGUUCGGAUUGGAGGCUGUAACUCGCCUACAUGAAGGCGGAAUCACAAGUAAUCGUAGAUCAGCAAGCUACGGUGAAUCUGUACUUAGAUCUUGUACACACCGCCCGUCACAUGCUGGAAGGAAGCUCCGUUUUAAGCCUUUUCCAUCUACUAAAGAGUAAUUCUAAUAUCAGAGGAAUAAAUUCUUUAGUUGGGUGAUGAAUUGUCAUCUUGGGGUUUGUAACUAGGAUG